CCCAAGCAGGCUUCAAACACUCCAAAAGUGUUGGGGUUGGUGAUAGGCUAGCACCUCCUUAUCUUUUUAAAAUGUGAUUUUAAAAAAUAUCCCCAUAACUCCCAUGAAUGGCCAUCAAUGGUCUUGCACUAUGUACGAUUGUAGCAAGAGUCGGGUUUAUUCUCAAGCUAAGAUGCAUUUGCUGUGUUGGGAAGAGUGAUUUGAACAAAUGUGGCAGAGAGGAAAGGAAGAGUGGACCAAGAUUGGAGUCUGGGAGGCCCCAGGGGCUCUAUGAUCUCUUGGGCCACACUCUCUGUGGUCACCAAAACGAGCAAAUGGUGUCACCUUUCAGAGCACGGAAAGUUUGAUCUGAAGCUGCCUUCCAGCCCAUGCCUCUCACCACAGCCUGAGUGAUCUAAGCGGAAACGACCAUACGCUUCCUCAAAGACCAUUGCACUUGGAAUGAAGGGAGGCCAACCGUCUUAAAAUGUUUACAAGGCCCUUCUUCUUGCCUGACGCUUGGUCUAUCUGGCUUCUUUCCGUCACUCAACAAAUAUUUAUUGGGUGUCUUUUUCAUGCCCAGCAGAGUAGGUAGAGGCGGUGAGGACACAUCUGCUUCCUCAUGAAGAGCACACGAAAGUCUGCAGAGAGGGAAGAAGAAAGAUGGAGGCCGUGGUGGAGAAAAAGCGGUAGAGGGGCACUGAGGGGCAGCUGGUGUGUGUGUGUGUGUGGCACGAUUUUAGGCAGGGGCCAUGAAGUGUCUUCAUUGCUGUAGGAAAGCCAAGGGCCGAGGACUCCUGUCAACACGGGGUGUUUCUGGAGUAGGGCCUUCACAGGCCAGGCUCAGCUGGGAACCCCCAUUUCAUUCGACUCCUCUUCAUCCUCAGGUCUGGUUUGUCUGCAUCCCCGUGGACUCUCAGAGGGUCAAGGCACACUUGCAAUGAUGGUGGGGGCUGUGCAGUUUCUUCCGGGCUAGCACCAGGGGACAGUGUGCUCCUUGAGGGCAGGAGCCUAGGCUGUCUUGUUCCCGGUCCCAGCAAUGCCUUGGCUCCGAGAUUGGGAAUGUAUGCACAGCUGAUCUUCAUACAACUUCCUGAGCUUAAGAGCAGGGAAUGGAGGAGUGACGGACCCCAGAGGCAGCCAUGCGUCCAGACCACCCCACUUCCGAUGGGGAGGGGACAAGAAGCACCCUUCGCAGAUGUUCCUUGACCUCCACAGGCCUGACCUCCCGUAGUACUGCUCCCUCAUUUGCAAAGAGAAAAGUUAUUUAUUUGGGGGUUGUGUGUGCCAAUUUGCUGGGGUCACAUCCAUUAAUGUGCUCUGAGAUCAUCCUGGGUGGGAAUUUGAUCAGUUCCAUAUUUUCUGGGAGACUAACUCUCAGAUGUCUGUCUCCCCUGGCAGCCAUAAACCAUCCCUCCCAUAACACUUAUAUUACUUGUAAGCAUUUAUGAGGAAUUAACAGUCGGUGAGCCCUCACGCAUGGCUGCCACACCAGUGAACAACCACACCUACUUCCUCGGUUUUGAAACAUGCCUCAAGAAAGAGGUUUCUCUGGAAAAAUAUUUAUCUAAAAUUUUGUCAUUCAGACAUAUAUCUAUCUGCUCAGCUUCUCAGGCAGAGAUUUUUCUUGCCCCUCAUCUAGUUCCAAGAAAAGCUUUUGGUUCAAGCUAGGUCUGACAGGAUUCAAGCUUUCCAGCCUCACGGUCCUUCAUGAAUCACCAGAUGGAGCUGGACACCAGUGACAUGAUUCGAGAGAAAUCUCUUCAUUAUCAAAAAGGAGUUUGUGUCGGGCUAAAGGACAAGGGCUUGGCCAAGACUAGGUCCAAUGGCUGCAAUUACUUCAACUCCUAUGUGGAGUUCAACUUGAAACAGUUGGGAGUCAAGGGCUUCCAGAAAAAUCUCUCCACACCUCUUGACUCAUGAGUCUUUUUCUCUAAGAGUUCCCUUGACCACUCUGUUCCUUUCUCUGUUAUAUAAGAACCAUCAAUUGUAGCAUGAUGGGAUGCUGUCAGAAAUACGGUCAUUGUUGUUGUUGAUGAUGAUGGUGAUGGCGAUGAUGAUGAUGUUCAAGUGGUUCUGCAAAUGGAUGAUGGUAGAAGAGAGACUGGGAGUAAAGAUGAUUAAACAUAUAAAGCUGGUUCUGAGAGGUGAAGGGGGAGAAAAAGUCAGAGAGCUAGAAACAGAAAAGCAGGCCAUGUGCUUGGGUGGUUGGUGUCUGUUCAUCAGAUGGGUAUUCAUAGUGGCUACCUUGUGCCAGACAAGCCAGCAUGGGGCAGCAGGUGAUUUUAGCUGGUGACUCAUCUGUGAAGACAUUGUAAUAGUAAUAGACUGGCAACUGAUGCAGGACAGUUGGUGAUAUGCCUUGGGGCAGUCACGGGGGAACCUCUCUGAGGAGGUGACAGUGCAGCCCACACUGGGUGCCAAGGAACUGCCAGCCUGGAGCAGACCCUGCCUUUUCCCAGUCAGUACAGCCUGUGUCACCAUGGUCUGAUUAUUUUGAGGUACAACUCAGGCAAUGGCUCUUUGAAAAGGGAAGUAGAGUUCUUGCUUUGCAGUCCUGCUCUGCUCCAGCCUCUGGGCUCCGUCUUGACCCUGUGAGCUCCCUUGUGUGUUUGCAGGGUAGAGCAAUCAAAACUGGCUCUUGCAGCUCUAGGGUAUAUUGGGAGCAACACAUUGGCAUAAAGAGAAACCCAGGGUCACCUUUUCUAAAAGUCAGGAAGGAGAGGAGAGCCCAGGGCUCUCUAGAAGGAAGGGAAAGGGGGUGGGGGUAGGGCUGGAAGGAAGCAGAAGCUCGAAGUUGUUUUUAGUUUUUUUGGUUUUUAUUUUUUCAUGUGCACACUUUGGUGGAAAUGAUUUAGAACGGAUGGAAAGGUGACAUAUUUCAGAGAAAAAAACCCAACUCACCCAGCCCCCUCCCCUAGGUUGUGCUGUAAAUAUUUGACGAUUUUGAUUUUGAGGUUCUGCUAAGAACUCCUGGGGGCCUUUCUCUGUAGUAACCGAAACAAUAGAGACGAACGAGUUAAUUUGGUAAGGCUGAUCUGGAUUGCACAGAACGCCUUGCGCAAGUGCUUGGCAUUUAAACAGUUAUCUGACAUUUAAAAGGAGAUGACUGUUAAUGAAUUCAAGAGCUAAUCUUAUACUCUGACAGAGUGAGCCAUGGAAAAUCCAGGAUUAUUAUCUUGCUGUAACCAUAAUGUGAUUUGGUUGAGCUAUCAACAGACGGGAGCGACUGGCCGCAUACAAAUAUCCAUAGGAACACACGGGAGCCGACUGAAAGGGGAGGCUCAUUAAAAUUAAGUAAAUAGCUUAUCAUUUCUUUAAGUACUCUCGGGUUGUAAUAUCCGAACUAUAGACUCGGGGAGAACAGCCCCCUAGGCGCUCCUCCUCCUCUCUUGAGAUUUCUUAGAGCGUCACAAGUCGCUCUACAAACAGACCUUGGGAUAUCUCACUUUAAAAUGACUGAACCCAAACAGCUACAUCUCCACCCAUGAGUCCCACAGAGUCACCCAAGACAAGGAUCUGUCCUGCGGGGCCUCCCCCUGAUGUCUCCCACUCCUUUCUAAUUGGGGUUCCCCACUUUUGUAGCUGCCGCUUAAUGGCUCCGGCAGGAGCUCCUGCCCCUCAUUAAGUCGGCUGCAACACUGGCCGUCUAACCGCCUCGCUUCCCACGCAGCUCACAGCUCCACUCUGCCUGAGAGCCAGUUGCCAAAAGUCUCUGGGAACCUGUGGGCAAGCUGAGCUUUGGGGAGAGAACAGGAGGAGGGAGGGAGAGCCUGGAGAGCCAAGAUUUGAAGGGUGUUGGGGAACACACCCCACCAUUAUCUUAAUGCAUGGGAGGAGGGGCGGAUCGGUGGAGAUGUCUUUGUUGAAACCCUGUGGAGUCCUUUAAGUUGCCCCAUCAAACCUCUGUGCACCGGGGCAUUUGUCCCCUCCUGUGAGCAAACAAAAGGGACAGUCCUGACCACCACAUCCCCUCUGUGGCCUUAGCCUCUUAUCCUUUGGGAGCUUUGAACCCUGGUGGGGGGUGGAGGUGGGAGAAAGUCGGUUACUAGGUGUAGAGGAGAAUGGCUGGGACUUGAACCCCCUCACCCCACAACCAGAUCCUGAUAAUGGGGACUGCAGUUGACUGCAGCCUGACCAGUCAGUCCCUUCUAGGGCUUAGUUGAGUCUUCCUUUGUCAGCCUAUGGCGCUAAAAUUAGGUAGAAUUGGGAACAGGGGCGGGGCUGGGUUGACUGCAACUUUGCUGGCUCCUGGUGAUCUGGAUUCUCCAAGAGAGAGAUCUGUGAGGGCUGAGGUCACUACAAACACUGCCAACUACACCGCCUACACCAUCACCACUCAGCCCCUAACCCCCACCCAGCCGCCCCUGAGUGCCUCUCCUACCUGCACAGAGGCCACAAAGGGCUGGGAAGAUCCUACCUCAACCCCCCAGCCUCCCAGGGGACAAAGAGUCUGCAGCCUACCGUGCAUUUGUCAUCCAUGUGCUCAGCGUUCUUACUGGGAUGUGGCUCCCUUCCACUCAUCUCUGCCACCUGAGAGAUGGGGUCUCGGGCUGUCUUUGAAUUCCCGUCAUAGCUGAAGAGGAACCUGAGCUUCUGCUUCUCUCAUCUCUGCUUCCUGAGCUGCCACCGCGCCAGUCUCUGCAGUGAAUAAAGACGACUAGGGGAGGAGAGCAGAGACCACAGGCCCAGGGACGCGACGUGAAGUUUGAACCCAGAGCACCCUAAUUUUGUGCUCCCUAACAGAUGCUUGAGAACAAAACACAAAAAUCAACAACCAUAGAUGGAAUCAUGAUUGACUUAUGGUUUUGAUUUGCACUUUCAAUAUUCAGUCACUCUGGACGUGAUAGCAUAUGCCUAUAAUUUCAGUGAGGUAGGAUGGCCAGUCUGGGCUACAUAGUAAGACUCUGGCUCAAAAACGAACAACAGUAACAACAAAAAAGGAAAAGGAAAGGAGGAAGGGGAAAGAGGAAGAAGAGGAGGAGGAAAAAAAGAGAGGGGUGAUGGGUUCAGUUUGCUCCCUGGGGAAUAUUUAGCAGUGGGUGGAAACACUUUGGUUGUUAUAACAGUGCACACAGAGGGUGGACUCUGGGCAGCCCAGGCUGGCUCCUCCUCACCAACCGUCUGGAACCUUGAUGUUGCCCAGUAUUAAAUCACAGAUUCCAGGAGAUCACAGAUCUCAGGUUGCCUCGGAUGAUUUUGACUUUCUGAGCCUUUCUUUCCGAGGGCUGAUAUUGCAGGUGUGUGACCGUGCCUGGGUUUUAUGUGGUCCCAGGGAUAGAAUGCAGGGCCAUGUGCAUUCUAAGAUAGACCUCAACCAGCUGAACUACAGCCCCAAGCCCUAGUCAUCUGUGCCUCUGUGUGUGUGUGUGUGUGUGUGUGCGCGCGUAUGCGUGUGCGUGUGUGUGUGUGUGUGUGUGCGCGCGUAUGCGUGUGCGUGUGUGUGUGUGUGUGUGUGUGUGUGUGUGUGUGUGUGUAUAAGAGUAUUCCGGAUCAGACCCAGGGCCUUGCCUAUGGUAGUCAAGCCCUGCCACUAAACUAUAGCUCAUAUUCUUGCCUACUACUAUUAUUUUAAUAUGAUUUGGUCUUUUGAUUAUGUUUCUAACUCUCUAUGUUUUCUUUUUAAAAAUGAAAUGCAAUCCUCACCGAGGAUCGACAGUAUUAUUAACGUUAAUGAAAUGAUUGCAUAUUUUUCUUUUUUACUUUCUCCUCUCUCACUGCACGGAUGUAUUAAUAUCUCCUUCUGAAACUUCCAUUUACAAUUUUAAGAUUCUUUUUAGGUGCUGGGCACCUCACCCAACCUCAAGCCUCUCCCCAGAGGCCUUGGGGAAGAGGAAAGGCGAGAGCCUGCGAUUGAUGUCAGCGACCCGCAGAGGGAAGAGCAGUCCUGGACUCUGAAGGCAGCCCAGAAACUAAUUUCUCUUAAUCAGUUGUAGGGCCCCAGGAGGACCCACAAGGCAGAGGGGGAAAUAAAUCUGAAGGAGAAAACCAAAUUCUAUGAGGGGCUGGAAAGACCUGUAUUUUCAAAAGGGCACCAUACCUUUAGGACUUAAGCGCUGGCAGGGCCCCAUCCCUGCGCAGCUAUUAAUAUGCAAAAAAUGCCUUCAUAAAUACUUGAUUCUGCUCACAGUGGGGAGGCCGUUCAUUUGAAAGGGGAAAUGGGAGCUUGGAGUUGAAACACGUCUGCUUGUCUUCUUUCUCUUUUUUCAUCGCUCUUUUCAUCUCCACGCAACUCCCCUUGUAGUCUUCUUCCCCCUAUUUCUCUGACUUCUCCCCACUUCUAACUCCAAGGAAGUUGCUGAUGGCAGCUGCGGCGCUUUUUUUUUUUUUUUUUUUAAACUGAUGGACUUGGCUCUGAGGCCCGGAACCUCCGGCUAGGUGUAGAAGGGGUGCCUAAGGGCCUUUACUUGAAAGUGGAACUGGGAGGCUAGAGCCCCUCACCCUUUCGGCUUUGGCCUUAGCGACGCGGCCACUGAAGACUCAGAGCAGAGGUUUUCAGUACUACCGGGAGGGGGCGCACGGGGGCAGCCUCCGGACCCCAGAGCUGAACUUGGACAGCAAUACCAGACUUUCUUUCCCUCAUACUUCCCAGCCUAGGUAUGUGACUUCUCAAAGGUCUGUUGUUUCCAAAAGGUUCCACCUUUGGGAUUCUCACUGUGACUUAAACCAAACCAAGCCAAACCAAACCAAACCUCCACCACCAACAACAAAACUAGACAAAUGUAUUAUGUGUGAGUGACCUUACAUGACCAGACCCUAAAGGAUGGAGGGACGAGCUGAGUCAGUAGGGAUUAAAAGAAAAGAAAGACGGGCUUAAUUGCUGCUGCUACUACUGUUGCUGCAAGCCUGCUUUGUGCUUCAGAGCAAGAAAGGUCCUAGGUCCUAGAGAGGCAGGGAGGCCACUGGUUGGGCCAGUGGCCCAUCAAGGUGGGUAAACUGAAGUCUGUUGGGUAGAAAUUUGUUUCUAAAGCCUUUCCAGAUGCUUUAUGGUAAACAUAAAAUUAGUCAUUUAUGUGGAGUAGGUUGAGGAAGUAGUUAAAAUCCGAGGCAGUGAUUAACCUAAUAAAGUGCCCUGAGCCUCAAGAAGGGGGAGGGGUGAGAGAGGCAGGAGGAAGUCCUUUGUACCCUACACCCCAUUUUUCCUGGCUUGGGGACUGGUGGGGCUCCCUAGACUUUUCCUCAUAAGGCUUUUCCCCUCGGGGUUCCUUUUCAAAGGCAGGCAGGCUAUGGUAACACCAACCAACCAAGAAGCUCAGAUGGGAACCUUUCUCCAUUUGCAAAGGAGGUACAAGAUAUUUCCAGAGUUUGUGAACUUACCAAGGCCUUGCAGAUGAACCAGGCUUGGAGCUUAAGAUCCAAAGUUCAGUCUGACUGCAAAGUUCAUAAUUUAGUCUAUAGUUAACUUGUCAUGGCUGGGUCACUCUUUGAAGGGUCCUCCAGUAGAGCCAUAGGGAUACAUGAGUUUGGACCAUGCAGGGAGUAUUGGUAUGGCCUUUGGAGCUAUGGGAUUUCCAAAAUAUAUUGUAUUUUCUUAGUCACAACUCUGUAAUUAUUAUUGCUAUUGUUAUUACUUAAGGUCUUCGGAUCCUUUAUGAAAAGUGUCUUCAAUGGAGGCAAACCACACACACACACACACACAAACACACACACAGACAGACAGACAGACACACAUAGUAUGUGUGUGUCUGUGUUGUUUCUGAGGUUCUUCAGUAGUGGAGAAGUGGCUUAGAUAUGCUUUUCUUCAAUGGAGGCCUGACUUGGGCCUGGUGUUUUAACCUGAAAGGUCAGUUCAAAUAUUGUGCAAACAGACUCAUUUCUGCUCUGAUUGUAAGGAAGUGCUGGGGAAAAGAGGGAAGGCCAGAAGCAGCAAGAAGUUGGAGAUAAGAGGCUUGGCGAGCCUGCCCUGGAGGCUGUCUGAGAGCGGAGGGACCUAGGCAACCCCUGGAGCAGUGGUAUAGCAUCUGCCUCAGGAGUUCCCAGUCCCUGGAUCCAGCUCUAGGAAUUCCCUACUAGCUUCUCUUGAGAGACUGAAGACACUGUCACCCUCAGAGCUUCAGACAGAGGACCGCUUAUCAAAAAGUCUGCACACAUCCCUUGAAACAUUAGAUAUUUCCAAGCCAUUCAAAUCGGCACCUUCCUUCUUCAUAAUUAUCCUACCUGUGUGCGUACGUGUGAGUGUGUGCGUGUGUGGUGUAUGUGCUCAUGGGUGUGUGUGCGUGUGUAUGGAGGCCAGAGAUUGACAUCUGGUGUCUCCCUUUAUUGUUCUCCAUGUUAUUUGUUGAAACGGUCUCUCACUGAACCUGGAGUGCAUCCAUUUAGCUGGGCUGGCUGCACAAUGAGCUCCAAGGAUCUGCCUGUCUCCUGCUCACCUCCCACAAUGCCACGAUUACAGAUGUUUGCAGCUGUACCUGUCAGGCUUUUUAUGUGGGGUCUGGAGAUCUGAACUCAGACCUUGCCUUUGUGGCAGGCUCUUUAUAGACAGAGCCAUCUCCCUAGCUCCUCUCCUUGAUGCCUUAAAACCAACAAGCAAACAACAAACUCGAUCGCUAUUUUCUUUCCUGAUUUGGAAGGAAAAAUGUGAUUCUCGGCUUGUGGCUGCUGGUGUCUGUAUUCUUAUUCUAAUUCUGACUUUGCAGAAGUCUGGGAAAAGUCAGCUCUGCUUCUUCACACACACACCACAAUCCAGAUUCCAAGCUUGAGAGUAAAGAAACCUGGUGACGGUACAGUUUACCUGCUCAUUUUACUGAUGAGACAAAUGAGGCCCAAGGAGAUGAAGAGGCUCACUCAGGGUCACACAGCAAGUUAGGACAAGAAUCCCAGACAAGUCUUGACUCCCAGUGUUGUGCUCAUUCACAGUCAAUACUGUACCUGACUCUCUGCAGCUUGAG